rnacentral:rRNA from 1 species
GAUCAUGGCUCAGGAUGAACGCUAGCUACAGGCUUAACACAUGCAAGUCGAACGGCAGCACGGAGAGCUUGCUCUCUGGUGGCGAGUGGCGCACGGGUGAGUAAUACAUCGGAACGUGUCCUGUUGUGGGGGACAACCGGUCGAAAGACCGGCUAAUACCGCAUAAGACCUGAGGGUGAAAGCGGGGGAUCGCAAGACCUCGCGCAAUUGGAGCGGCCGAUGCCCGAUUAG